rnacentral:pre_miRNA from 1 species
UUUAAGUGUAGUUGUGAGUUUCCGUAUCCAACUUUUAUCGUCCGUCUUAUUUAUUUUUUUUAAAAAAAAUAAAAAACAUAAGUCACGCAUAAAGUAUUAUUCAUAUUUUAUCAUCUAAUAACAAUAAAAGUACUAAUCUAAAAAAAAAUUAAAUAAGACGAAUGAUUAAAAUUAGAUAUAAAAACUUAUGGUUGCGUUUAAA